UAACGCUUGGCGACCGAAACCGAACCGAACUGAACUGAACUGAGCCGAACCUCAUCAUCCUCUCCAUCGGAUCGGCGGCAACCUCAUCAUCGCCAUCGGAAUUCCGACGACGUCGAGCAGCUCGCACAAUGAGUGCGGACGUGUAUCUGAGUAUCUGCAAGAUACUCGUACUCGUACUCGUACUCAUGCCCGUACACACUCACUCACUCGCUCGCUCGCUGCCUGCGUUCGAUAAACUUGCAUUUUAGAAUGCAUUUCCUCAGAAGACCCUAUUUUGUUUGUCGAUUAAUUAUGCGGCCCCCUCAAGAAAUGAUUGAGCACGUUUAAAAAUAAGUCGGAUAUCAGGGAGAAAUCCCAUAAAUUUUGGGUUACCCGACGCAAUUACAACAAAAGUGGAUGCCACAUGCCCACGCUUCAAAAGCGCAACAACAAGAGCGAUAAAUAAAAACAACGAUCGACAACAAACAAACAACCAACAACGAACAACCGAAACAGCAACAACAAAAGCAAAGACAACAACGUGAAAAGUGCGUUGUACAUAAACGAAAUCGAAACGAAACGAAUAAUAAAUGAGAGGCAAAGGAACGACAAUACUUUAUAUAGUUGAAUGACUGAACCAACCCGUCAACCACACCAACGACGAACAAAUUAACACACAAAAUACUUAUGCGCAAUAACACCAACAAUACCAAUAACACCAACAAUACCAAUAACAACAACACCAAAAACAACAAGAACUGGCCCUCUUCGCCAACAAAAUUACCUUAAAAACCCCAAACAAGCUGAAACACAAAAAAAUAUGGAAAACACAAGCCAACAAAAAAUCUGAAAAUAAAAAUACAUUAAACGAAAUAAGAUGAAUACCAAACAAAUAAAAAAGUUAUGCGUUGCACUUGGUUGUGGCGAGUGCGAGGGGGAUGGGGCUAGCGGAGCGAUAGAGACGGACAGUGAGGGAUUGUAUAAAUGGAGGCGAGCGAGAAAUUAUGCCACAAUCAAGUACAACACAGCGGCAGCAACAACAAACAUAGAG